CACGUGAGGGCGCAAGCGUUGUCCGGAAUUAUUGGGCGUAAAGAGCUCGUAGGUGGUUUGUUACGUCCGCUGUGAAAUCCGUAGGGCUUAACCCCUGGGCUUGCAGUGGAUACGGGCAGACUAGAGGUAGGUAGGGGAGAAUGGAAUUCCUGGUGUAGCGGUGAAAUGCGCAGAUAUCAGGAGGAACACCGGUGGCGAAGGCGGUUCUCUGGGCCUUACCUGACACUGAGGAGCGAAAGCGUGGGGAGCGAACAGG
rnacentral:rRNA from 1 species